rnacentral:rRNA from 1 species
AUACGGAGGGUGCAAGCGUUACUCGGAAUCACUGGGCGUAAAGCGCGCGCAGGCGGCUAUUUAAGUUGGAUGUGAAAGCCCACGGCUCAACCGUAGAACUGCAUCCAAAACUAUUUAGCUAGAGUGUGGGAGAGGAAGAUGGAAUUAGUUGUGUAGGGGUAAAAUCCGUAGAGAUAACUAGGAAUACCAAAAGCGAAGGCAAUCUUCUGGAACACUACUGACGCUGAGGCAUGAAAGCGUGGGGAGCAAACAGGAUUAGAUACCCUAGUAGUCC